UCAGGACGACGCUGGCGGCGUGCNNAAUACAUGCAAGUCGAGCGGAUNUUNNNCCUUCGGGAGAAGGUUAGCGGCGGACGGGUGAGUAACACGUAGGCAACCUGCCUGCAAGACCGGGAUAACAUUCGGAAACGAAUGCUAAGACCGGAUACGCAGUUUGGCGGCAUCGCCGGACUGGGAAACACGGAGCAAUCUGUGGCUUGCGGAUGGGCCUGCGGCGCAUUAGCUAGUUGGUGGGGUAACGGCUCACCAAGGCGACGAUGCGUAGCCGACCUGAGAGGGUGAACGGCCACACUGGGACUGAGACACGGCCCAGACUCCUACGGGAGGCAGCAGUAGGGAAUCUUCCACAAUGGGCGCAAGCCUGAUGGAGCAACGCCGCGUGAGUGAGGAAGGCUUUCGGGUCGUAAAGCUCUGUUGCCAGGGAAGAAUAAGGACGUGAGUAACUGCUCGUCCGAUGACGGUACCUGAGAAGAAAGCCCCGGCUAACUACGUGCCAGCAGCCGCGGUAAUACGUAGGGGGCAAGCGUUGUCCGGAAUUAUUGGGCGUANAGCGCGCGCAGGCGGUCUUUUAAGUCUGGUGUCUAAGUGCGGGGCUCAACCCCGUGACGCACUGGAAACUGGGAGACUUGAGUGCAGAAGAGGAGAGCGGAAUUCCACGUGUAGCGGUGAAAUGCGUAGAGAUGUGGAGGAACACCAGUGGCGAAGGCGGCUNUCUGGACUGUAACNGACGCUGAGGCGCGAAAG
rnacentral:rRNA from 1 species